CCCCAUCAUCAAUCAUCACAACAAGAGCACAAGAUCUCAAUCAAAAGGGCAAAGAGAACGAAACCGAAAGAAAAAGUCUGUGCAGCUGCGAAGAAAUUUCUUGUGUUUAAAGCAACAGGUGGGAUGUUCUUAGAGUUAGACAGUUUUUUUGUGAGAUAUCUGAAAUCAUUGAGAGUUGUGUACUUUUGCUCAGCUAAAGAAACUCUUGUUUAUGGAGCUGUUGAAGUGCUACUGCGACGACAGAGGAAUAACUGGUUCAUCCUCGGUGUAUAUGAGGAAGUGUCUGGAAGAUGUUCAUCCUUCGUGACGUAUUCAGAGGAGGUG